rnacentral:rRNA from 1 species
UCGGGAAUUUUGGGCAAUGGGCGAAAGCCUGAUCCAGCAAUGCCGCGUGCAGGAUGAAGGCCUUCGGGUUGUAAACUGCUUUUGUACGGAGCGAAACGGCUUCUCCUAAUACGAGGAGCUAAUGACGGUACCGUAAGAAUAAGCACCGGCUAACUACGUGCCAGCAGCCGCGGUAAUACGUAGGGUGCAAGCGUUAAUCGGAAUUACUGGGCGUAAAGCGUGCGCAGGCGGUUAUAUAAGACAGAUGUGAAAUCCCUGGGCUCAACCUAGGAACUGCAUCUGUGACUGUAUAGCUAGAGUACGGUAGAGGGGGAUGGAAUUCCGCGUGUAGCAGUGAAAUGCGCAGAUAUGCGGAGGAACACCGAUGGCGAAGGCAAUCCCCUGGACCUGUACUGACGCUCAUGCACGAAAGCGUGGGGAGCAAACAGGAUUAGAUACCCCCGUAGUCCCUGAG